AUUACAAUAGAUGUUUUCACGGGCAAGACUCAGUGAUAACACAAGAUUCGAGUUAUGAACAAGUCCUGUGUUUGUUGACUUCUGCUUACGGAGAGAUUCAAUUACUGGUUGCCCCAUAUAGUACGUUUAUCAGCUCGAAUAAGGGUAUUAGUUUACUGAUAGAGAGACAAAGCAAUCUUCUCUUUGCACACUAUAAGAAUAAGGGAAGGGUCUCUUCUGCGCACUAUAAGAAUAAGGGAAGAGUCUUUUUCUUUUUGUCCUACAGCAAUAAUAAGGGAAGGGUCUUUUUCUUUGUGCCCUACUUCUUGUAAUGGCGGUGAAUUCGAUACGGUAGACUAAGCAAUCUUCUGCCCUCGAUAUAUGGUGUCGACAAGAGAAUCAAAGAAGCAGCAAGCGGGCAAUCUUAAAGGGGUCGAUAACACGGUUGGUAACUACACUUCGUAUCCUGCUGUAACUCACAAAGUAGUACAAUCUAGUUAUUGGCUUUACGUCUAUGAAAGAGUUCUGUUAUUGGCUCUAAGUCGGUGUAGAGAGUUUCUGAAAGUGGAGUGGUU
rnacentral:lncRNA from 1 species